CAAUUUAUUCGUUGCCUCAGGAUGUCGUCACACGUUAACUUACCCCAAAAUGAGAAUGAGAAGAGUUCUUCAUAUGAUUCUUCAUAUUGGGAGGGACGCUAUAUC